UCUGGGUUUAUCCCAGCGGUCCCGUCAGAGAAAUAUAACUGACGGCGAGGGUUGCGCUCGUUGCGGGACUUAACCCAACACCUCACGGCACGAGCUGACGACAGCCAUGCAGCACCUGUCUAGGUUCCCGGACUUUACGGGUCGUUCCCCUUUCAGUUCACUACUUCCUAGAUGUCAAGCCCAGGUAAGGUUCUUCGCGUUGCGUCGAAUUGAGCCACAUGCUCCGCCGCUUGUGCGGGUCCCCGUCAAUUCCUUUGAGUUUUAGCCUUGCGGCCGUACUCCCCAGGCGGGGCGCUUAAUGCGUUAGCUUCGGCACAGAAGGGGUCGAUACCCCCCACACCUAGCGCCCAUCGUUUACGGCUGGGACUAC
rnacentral:misc_RNA from 1 species